CCUACGGGUGGCUGCAGUAAGGAAUAUUGGUCAAUGGACGAAAGUCUGAACCAGCCAUGCCGCGUGGAGGAUGAAGGUCCUCUGGAUUGUAAACUUCUUUUAUAUGGGACGAAAAAAGGCUUUUCUAAGUCGUCUGACGGUACCAUAUGAAUAAGCACCGGCUAACUCCGUGCCAGCAGCCGCGGUACUACGGAGGGUGCAAGCGUUAUCGGGAUUCACGGGUUUUAAGGUGUGCUGGUAAGUGUUGGGAGAAAUCCCCGAGCUUAACUUGGGAACUGCCAUUGAUACUAUCAGUCUUGAAUACCGUGGAGGUCAGCGGAAUAUGUCAUGUAGCGGUGAAAUGCUUAGAUAUGACAUAGAACACCAAUUGCGAAGGCAGCUGGCUACCCGAAUAUUGACACUGAGGCACGAAAGCGUGGGGAUCAAACAGGAUUAGAUACCCGAGUAGUC
rnacentral:rRNA from 1 species